rnacentral:rRNA from 1 species
GAUGAACGCUGGCGGCGUGCCUAAUACAUGCAAGUCGAGCGAACGGACGAGAAGCUUGCUUCUCUGAUGUUAGCGGCGGACGGGUGAGUAACACGUGGAUAACCUACCUAUAAGACUGGGAUAACUUCGGGAAACCGGAGCUAAUACCGGAUAAUAUUUUGAACCGCAUGGUUCAAAAGUAAAAGACGGUCUUGCUGUCACUUAUAGAUGGAUCCGCGCUGCAUUAGCUAGUUGGUAAGGUAACGGCUUACCAAGGCAACGAUGCAUAGCCGACCUGAGAGGGUGAUCGGCCACACUGGAACUGAGACAGGGUACAGACACCUACGGGAGGCAGCAGUAGGGAAUCUUCCGCAAUGGGCGAAAGCCUGACGGAGCAACGCCGCGUGAGUGAUGAAGGUCUUCGGAUCGUAAAACUCUGUUAGUAGGGAAGAACAAAUGUGUAAGUAACUGUGCACAUCUUGACGGUACCUAAUCAGAAAGCCACGGCUAACUACGUG